AUUCGCCCUUAGAGUUUGAUCCUGGCUCAGGACGAACGCUGGCGGCGUGCCUAACACAUGCAAGUCGAACGGAGAUAUUUAUUUCGGUAGAUAUCUUAGUGGCGCACGGGUGAGUAACGCGUGAACAACCUGACCUUCAGAGGGGGAUAACACCUGGAAACAGAUGCUAAUACCGCAUGAGACCACAUUGUCGCAUGACAGAGGGGUCAAAGGAGAAAUCCGCUGAAGGAGGGGUUCGCGUCCCAUUAGGUAGUUGGUGAGAUAACAGCCCACCAAGCCGACGAUGGGUAGCCGAGCUGAGAGGCUGAUCGGCCACACUGGAACUGAGACACGGUCCAGACUCCUACGGGAGGCAGCAGUGGGGAAUAUUGGGCAAUGGGCGCAAGCCUGACCCAGCAACGCCGCGUGAGGGAAGAAGGUUUUCGGAUUGUAAACCUCUGUCGCAAGGGACGAAGAAAGUGACGGUACCUUGCAAGAAAGCCCCGGCUAACUACGUGCCAGCAGCCGCGGUAAUACGUAGGGGGCGAGCGUUGUCCGGAAUUACUGGGCGUAAAGGGAGCGUAGGCGGUCCUUUAAGUUGGAUGUGAAAGCCCCGGGCUUAACUUGGGAAGUGCAUCCAAUACUGGAGGACUUGGAGUACAGGAGAGGGAAGCGGAAUUCCUAGUGUAGCGGUGAAAUGCGUAGAUAUUAGGAGGAACACCAGUGGCGAAGGCGGCUUUCUGGACUGACACUGACGCUGAGGCUCGAAAGCGUGGGGAGCAAACAGAAAGAGAUACCCUGGUAGUCCCCGCUGUAAACGAUGAAUACUAGGUGUAGGGGGUAUCAACUCCCUCUGUGCCGCAGCAAACGCAAUAAGUAUUCCGCCUGGGGAGUACGGCCGCAAGGUUGAAAACUCAAAGGAAUUGACGGGGGCCCGCACAAGCAGCGGAGCAUGUGGUUUAAUUCGACGCAACGCGAAGAACCUUACCAAGGCUUGACAUCCACUUAAACUCAUGGAAACAUGAGGUCCCUUCGGGGGAAGUGAGACAGGUGGUGCAUGGUUGUCGUCAGCUCGUGUCGUGAGAUGUUGGGUUAAGUCCCGCAACGAGCGCAACCCCUGUUGCCAGUUACCAGCGAGUAAAGUCGGGGACUCUGGUGAGACUGCCGGGGACAACUCGGAGGAAGGUGGGGACGACGUCAAGUCAUCAUGCCCCUUACGCCCUGGGCCGCACACGUGCUACAAUGGCCGGCACAGAGGGUUGCCACCCCGCGAGGGGGAGCGGAUCCCCAAAGCCGGCCCCAGUUCGGAUCGGAGGCUGCAACCCGCCUCCGUGAAGCCGGAGUUGCUAGUAAUCGCGGAUCAGCACGCCGCGGUGAAUACGUUCCCGGGUCUUGCACUAACGGCCCGUCA
rnacentral:rRNA from 1 species